CAGGGGAAGCACUGCAUCCUUGAUGUCUCAGCCAAUGCCGUGCGGCGGCUGCAGGCGGCCCACCUGCACCCUAUCGCCAUCUUCAUCCGUCCCCGCUCCCUGGAGAAUGUGCUAGAGAUCAAUAAGCGGAUCACAGAGGAGCAAGCCCGGAAAGCCUUCGACAGGGCCACGAAGCUGGAGCAGGAGUUCACGGAGUGCUUCUCAGCCAUCGUAGAGGGCGACAGCUUUGAAGAGAUCUAUCACAAAGUGAAACGUGUCAUCGAAGACCUCUCAGGCCCCUACAUCUGGGUCCCAGCCCGAGAGAGACUCUGAUUCCUGCCCUGGCUUGGCCUGGACUCACCCUGCCUCCACCACCUGGGCCCUUGGUCUGGACUGAAUAGCCCAAGCCCUUCGUACCCUAGCCUUUCUUCCCACCCUUCUUAUUUAUUUCCUUUCUGACUGGAUCGAGCCCAUUGGAGGGAGGACACUCCUCUCUGCAUGUAUCCCUGCACCCCAGAUCAGGGCCCCUAGACCCCAGGAACCUGGGGUCUGGGGGGGAGCUGGGCUCCUGGUUCCGAGCCCUUGCUCCUUAAGACUCCUACCCCUGCCCGCCCCCAUGCACACACAGACCCACUGGGGGCCUCUGCCCUCCCCAUUUUCUCCCACACACAUUCCAGAAGUCAGGGCCCCUCUCAAGGAGUACCCGCUGUAGGGAUGCAGGGCCACAGGCUUCCGCGCUCUCCCGAGGCAGGGGCUGGGGUCACCCCUGCCCCAUCAUAACUCCCCACGCCGUUUGAGUUCUCCUUUAUUUUCUCCAUUCUUUUCUUCUCAAAGGUGGUUUUUGGGGGGAGAAGCAGGGGGGCUCUCCUGAGGGUCCCCCCGUCUUUCACACACCUCCCACCUUUUUUCUUUGCCGGUUUGCAUGAGUGGAAGGUCUAACUGUGGCUUUUUUUUUUUCUGGGAUUUUAUUUCAUUUUAUUUGAUUUUAUUUUUUUGGGAAAAGGGGAGGGAUGGGUCUGGGGAGUGGGGAAUGUGGGAGGGGGGUGGGGGGGCAAAGGGUCAGGGGUUGGGUGUCCGGGAGCCAGGGGAGGACAGGAAAUGCUGCCGCCUUCUGCAAUUUAUUUAUUUUUUUCUUUUGAGAGAGUGAAAGGAAGAGACAGACACU
rnacentral:lncRNA from 1 species